AGAGUUUGAUCAUGGCUCAGAUUGAACGCUGGCGGCAGGCCUAACACAUGCAAGUCGAGCGGAAACGAGUUAUCUGAACCUUCGGGGAACGAUAACGGCGUCGAGCGGCGGACGGGUGAGUAAUGCCUAGGAAAUUGCCCUGAUGUGGGGGAUAACCAUUGGAAACGAUGGCUAAUACCGCAUGAUGCCUACGGGCCAAAGAGGGGGACCUUCGGGCCUCUCGCGUCAGGAUAUGCCUAGGUGGGAUUAGCUAGUUGGUGAGGUAAGGGCUCACCAAGGCGACGAUCCCUAGCUGGUCUGAGAGGAUGAUCAGCCACACUGGAACUGAGACACGGUCCAGACUCCUACGGGAGGCAGCAGUGGGGAAUAUUGCACAAUGGGCGCAAGCCUGAUGCAGCCAUGCCGCGUGUGUGAAGAAGGCCUUCGGGUUGUAAAGCACUUUCAGUCGUGAGGAAGGUAGUGUAGUUAAUAGCUGCAUUAUUUGACGUUAGCGACAGAAGAAGCACCGGCUAACUCCGUGCCAGCAGCCGCGGUAAUACGGAGGGUGCGAGCGUUAAUCGGAAUUACUGGGCGUAAAGCGCAUGCAGGUGGUUUGUUAAGUCAGAUGUGAAAGCCCGGGGCUCAACCUCGGAAUAGCAUUUGAAACUGGCAGACUAGAGUACUGUAGAGGGGGGUAGAAUUUCAGGUGUAGCGGUGAAAUGCGUAGAGAUCUGAAGGAAUACCGGUGGCGAAGGCGGCCCCCUGGACAGAUACUGACACUCAGAUGCGAAAGCGUGGGGAGCAAACAGGAUUAGAUACCCUGGUAGUCCACGCCGUAAACGAUGUCUACUUGGAGGUUGUGGCCUUGAGCCGUGGCUUUCGGAGCUAACGCGUUAAGUAGACCGCCUGGGGAGUACGGUCGCAAGAUUAAAACUCAAAUGAAUUGACGGGGGCCCGCACAAGCGGUGGAGCAUGUGGUUUAAUUCGAUGCAACGCGAAGAACCUUACCUACUCUUGACAUCCAGAGAACUUUCCAGAGAUGGAUUGGUGCCUUCGGGAACUCUGAGACAGGUGCUGCAUGGCUGUCGUCAGCUCGUGUUGUGAAAUGUUGGGUUAAGUCCCGCAACGAGCGCAACCCUUAUCCUUGUUUGCCAGCGAGUAAUGUCGGGAACUCCAGGGAGACUGCCGGUGAUAAACCGGAGGAAGGUGGGGACGACGUCAAGUCAUCAUGGCCCUUACGAGUAGGGCUACACACGUGCUACAAUGGCGCAUACAGAGGGCGGCCAACUUGCGAAAGUGAGCGAAUCCCAAAAAGUGCGUCGUAGUCCGGAUUGGAGUCUGCAACUCGACUCCAUGAAGUCGGAAUCGCUAGUAAUCGUGGAUCAGAAUGCCACGGUGAAUACGUUCCCGGGCCUUGUACACACCGCCCGUCACACCAUGGGAGUGGGCUGCAAAAGAAGUAGGUAGUUUAACCUUCGGGGGGACGCUUACCACUUUGUGGUUCAUGACUGGGGUGAAGUCGUAACAAGGUAGCGCUAGGGGAACCUGGCGCUGGAUCACCU
rnacentral:rRNA from 2 species